ensembl:lncRNA
CUAGGCUUUGGGAUAGUUAAAAGGCUGCCUCUCCAUGCCUCUUGGUCCUAGGCUUUGGGAUAGUUAAAAGGCUGCCUCUCCAUGCCUCUUGGUCCUAGGCUUUGGGAUAGUUAAAAUGCUGCCUCUCCAUGCCUCUUGGUCCUAGGCUUUGGGAUAGUUAAAAGGCUGCCUCUCCAUGCCUCUUGGUCCUAGGCUUUGGGAUAGUUAAAAGGCUGCCUCUCCAUGCCUCUUGGUCCUAGGCUUUGGGAUAGUUAAAAGGCUGCCUCUCCAUGCCUCUUGGUCCUAGGCUUUAGGAUAGUUAAAAGGCUGCCUCUCCAUGCCUCUUGGUCCUAGGCUUUGGGAUAGUUAAAAGGCUGCCUCUCCAUGCCUCUUGGUCCUAGGCUUUGGGAUAGUUAAAAGGCUGCCUCUCCAUGCCUCUUGGUCCUAGGCUUUAGGAUAGUUAAAAGGCUGCCUCUCCAUGCCUCUUGGUCCUAGGCUUUGGGAUAGUUAAAAGACUGUCUCUCCAUGCCUCUUGGUCCUAGGCUUUGGGAUAGUUAAAAGGCCAGUGUCAGAGGACCUGAGGGACCUACUGGGUACAUAACUUAUAAGCAUGUCUGACAUUUAUUAUGGUGUACAAUCGUGGAUUGAUUUAAAAACCAAUAGAAUAAUCUUAUAAUGUAUUCACAGGCAGCCAGUGCAGAGACCUUAAAACUGGUGUUAAAGGUGCUAUCUAGAACCUAAAAUGGUUCUUUGGCUGCCCUCAUAGGAGAAACCUUUAAAGAACCAUUUUUAGUUCCAGGUAGAACAUUUUUGGGCCCUGGUAGAACCCUUUUGGGAUCCAUGAAGAACCCUUUCUACAGAGGGUUCAACCUGGAACCAAAAAGGGUUCUCCUAUGGUGACAGCUGAAGAACCGUUUUGGACACAAAUUUGUUUACAUCCUAGUUAGUAAGCAAUUCUCGUUUGCCAAGAUAAUCCUUCCACCUGACAGGUGUGGCAUACUAAAGAGCAUGAUCAUUACACAGGUACACCUGGGGUCUGGGGACAGUAAAAGGCCACUCUAAAAUGUCCAGUUUUGACACACAACACAAUUCUAAAGAUGUCUCAAGUUUUGAGGGAGCAUGCAAUUGGCAUGCUGACUGCAGGAAUGUCUACCAGAGCUGUUGCCAGAUAAUUGAAUGUUAAUUUCUCUACCACAAGCCGCCUCCAACGUUGUUUUAGAGAAUUUGCCAGUACGUCCAACCGGCCUCACAACUGCAGACAAUGUUUAUGGUGUUGUGUGGGUGAGCAGUUUGAUGAUGUCAUUAUUGUGAACAGAGUACCCCAUGGUGGCGCUGGGGUUAUGGAAUGGGCAGGCAUAAGCUAUGGACCGCAAACACAAUUGCAUUUUAUUGAUGGCAGUUUGAAUGCACAGUGAUACCGUGACGAGAUCCUGAGGCCCAUUGUCGUGCCAGUCAUCCUCUGCCGUCAGCUCAUGUUUCAGCAUGGAAGCUGAAAAUGUCCCAGUUCUUCCAUGGCCUGCGUACUUACCAGACAUGUCAACCAUUAGGCAUGCUUGAGAUGCUCUGGAUCGAUGUGUACGACAGUGUGUUCCAGUUCCCGACAAUAUCCAGCAACUUCGCACAGCCAUUGAAGAGGAGUGCGACAACAUUCCACAGGCCACAAUCAACAGCCUGAUCAACUUUAUGCGAAGGAGAUGUGUUGUGCUGCAUGAUGGUGGUCACACCGGAUACUGACUGGUUUUCUGAUCCACACCCCUACCUUUUUUUUCAGGUAUCUGUGACCAACCAAUGCAUAUCUGCAUUCCCAGUCAUGUGAAAUCCAUAGAUUAGUGCUUAAUUUAUUUAUUUAAAUUGACUGAUUUCCUUAUAUGAACUGUAACUCAGUAAAAUCUUGAACAUUGUUGCACGUGUGUUUGCAUUUUUGUUCAGUAUAUAUCCUUCCUCCCCUCUCUGUCUGCCUCCUUUGUCCCUCUCCUUCUCUUCCCUAAAUCUGAAUUCAGAUGAUCCUGAUUAGCAUUGCAGGCGCUAUCCCAUGUUGACAAAGUGUGGUUUCAUCCCCCUACCCCUCCAUCCUCCGUGUGUGUGUGUCUGUGUGUGUGUGUGUGUGUGUGUGUGUGUCUAUGACUCUGUGUACGAGCUGCGGCUGCUGUCCCGGCGAGGGGUGUUGCUGAGUGAGCCCAGUCCAUCAGUUAACGUCUCCAACAUGGG